CACUUCUUCACUGCCUGACCAUCAUCUUAAUGUGUAAGAAGUUCAAUGUUUUUAUUUUUUUAAUAUCUAAAGCAGCUUGUUCAGUAAGUAUUUAGAUGUUUUUCAUAUCUGUCACGGUCUAAGCAUGAUCUGUUUCUGUUGUUCUGAUGAAGGAAACUUGUGUUGGGGAGGAUUCAAUGUCUGUUGAGGCACAUGUGAAUGUGCUACAAAGUGAGUUUCAGAAACACAUCCAGACACAUGGACUGUCAAAGACGACAUGGCAGGAACAUUCUCCUGGAGACGUUGAGAAAGCACGGAAGGAAUGUCUGAGGAGGAUGUACUCAAAAAAUACACAUACUUAAGGACACCUGCUGGAGGGGACCCGGCUACACCUUUCCUACCGUACACCUGAUGGAUACUGACUGUAAAAUGGCAAUAAUAGGAGGAGGGCUCAGUGUGGUGACAGAAGAUGGAAUAGACAUGUGUCAGUGCACCACCCUUGAUGAAGCCUUCAUAACAGCCUUGUGGAUGUAUUUUGCUUUCAACAUUGCAUAUCCACCACACCUGAGAAAGACACUGACUUUCCUUCAGAGGCACAUUGUCAACAUUAGAAGAUGGAGACAAGCACUGUCAGUAACUUUACUCUGAAUGAUUUGCCUCUUUUAUUAGAUCCUCAUGCCUUGACUGUACCAUUGCCCAAAGUGCAUUCAAAGGACAUUCAAUCUGUUGAAGUUAACCCAACAUGUUGGAGUUGUACAUGCACAUUAACCAAAUAGCUUGCUCUAUUCUUUUUCUAUUCAAUCUGUUUUCUUUUUAUUUAUUAUAUUAUUUAAAAGCCCUUGCUACGUGUACUGUGUUAAGCUAACUGAGACUUGUUAUAGCUCUUAUAUAUCAUUGCUCUUUUUGUUGUUUUUGAUUGCUUCAACUCUGUCCUCAUUUGUAAGUCGAUUUGAAUAAAAGCGUCUGCUAAAUGAA